CGCGGGGUGGAGCAGCUGGUAGCUCGUCGGGCUCAUAACCCGAAGGUCGCGGGUUCGACUCCCGCCCCCGCUACCA
rnacentral:tRNA from 1 species